rnacentral:rRNA from 1 species
AGUGAACGCUGGCGGUAGGCCUAACACAUGCAAGUCGAACGGCAGCACAGUAAGAGCUUGCUCUUACGGGUGGCGAGUGGCGGACGGGUGAGGAAUACAUCGGAAUCUACUUUUUCGUGGGGGAUAACGUAGGGAAACUUACGCUAAUACCGCAUACGACCUACGGGUGAAAGCAGGGGAUCUUCGGACCUUGCGCGAUUGAAUGAGCCGAUGUCGGAUUAGCUAGUUGGCGGGGUAAAGGCCCACCAAGCCGACGAUCCGUAGCUGGUCUGAGAGGAUGAUCAGCCACACUGGAACUGAGACACGGUCCAGACUCCUACGGGAGGCAGCAGUGGGGAAUAUUGGACAAUGGGCGCAAGCCUGAUCCAGCCAUACCGCGUGGGUGAAGAAGGCCUUCGGGUUGUAAAGCCCUUUUGUUGGGAAAGAAAAGCAGCAGGUUAAUACCCCGAUGUUCUGACGGUACCCAAAGAAUAAGCACCGGCUAACUUCGUG